AACGCUGGCGGCGUGCCUAACACAUGCAAGUCGAACGAGAAAAUACGGCUGUAGCAAUACAGUCGUAUGAGUAAAGUGGCAAACGGGUGAGUAACACGUAGCUAACCUGCCCUCGAGUGGGGGAUAACCUGGGGAAACCUGGGCUAAUACCGCAUAACAUCCCGGUGACACAAGCCAUUGGGAUCAAAAGCCCGCAAGGGUUGCUUGAGGAGGGGGCUGCGGCCGAUUAGCUAGUUGGUGAGGUAACGGCCCACCAAGGCAAUGAUCGGUAGCCGGCCUGAGAGGGCGCGCGGCCACACUGGCACUGAGAUACGGGCCAGACUCCUACGGGAGGCAGCAGUGGGGAAUUUUGCACAAUGCCCGAAAGGGUGAUGCAGCAACGCCGCGUGAGGGAUGAAGGCCUUCGGGUCGUAAACCUCUUUCGAUCGGGAAAAACGGUUCGCUGAAGAGGCGGACUUGAUGGUACCGGAUGAAGAAGCCCCGGCUAACUACGUGCCAGCAGCCGCGGUAAUACGUAGGGGGCGAGCGUUGUUCGGAAUUACUGGGCGUAAAGGGCGUGUAGGCGGUGCGGUAAGUCGGACGUGAAAUCCCCGGGCUCAACCCGGGGCGGUCGUUCGAGACUGCCGUGCUAGAGUGUGGGAGAGGGAAGUGGAAUUCCCGGUGUAGCGGUGAAAUGCGUAGAUAUCGGGAGGAGCACCGGUGGCGAAGGCGGCUUCCUGGCCCACAACUGACGCUGAGGCGCGAAAGCUAGGGGAGCAAACAG
rnacentral:rRNA from 1 species